UUAAUAAUAAUAAUAAUAAUAAUAAUAAUAAUAAACUUUAUUUGUAUAGCACCUUUCAUGACAUGAGAUGCAGCUCAAAGUGCUUUACAGGUUAAAAACAAAGCACGAGUGCUUUACAGACGGGGUAGAUGAUUGGCAAUAAAACAAUAAAAUUAACAAUAAAAACAAUAAAAUAAGCAAUUAAAAAAAUAAAAAUAAAUAAAAAUAAGCAGACAAUAAAUACAGAAACAUAAAACAACAUCAUAAUAAUAGCAAAUAGUGCGGACAUGAUCAAAUAAAAGCAAGAGUGAAGAAAUAGGUCUUAAGGUGUGUUUUAAAGUUAUCAACAGAGGUUGCCUGUCUUAUGUAAACUGGGAGUUUGUUCCAUGCUGUCGGCCCAUAGAAGCAGAAUGCUGCUUCUCCAUGUUUUUUUGUUUUUUUAAAGAGGGAAACCCUAAUAUGAUAAUGAAAAAAAAAAUGACAAGACUUUGUGUAUAGUGUUUAAACUAGUUACUUAUCUUAAAUUAAUGUAUUUUGUAUUAUAACCCUUGGUUGGGAGCUACAUUCAAUUUUUUUGUUACAGCAAAACAGAUAUUCAGGCUUUUUAUACCAUGAAUAUGUGAUAAUAUCUUUCUUAAGUCUGAGACAGCCCCUUGUAAUGAUAUUAUCAAUUUUCUAUUAUGUAAUAAUGAGUACUCAGCAGCCUCUUACCUUGUACAGCUUUUAGUUCAGGUAGACUGUGGACAGGGGCUAAAAAAUUUUCAAGUUUAAUAUCCAAAACUUUGCCAAUACGUUCAUGUAAAUCAUUCCUUAAAACCCUAACGACAACAGCCUGAACUGCAAAAAAAAGUUGGGACACUGUGUAAAAUAUAACCAAAGAGGAUUUUUAUGGAUGGCAUACCAUUUCAACCUUAUAUUUUAUUAAAAAUGUGCAAAGAUGGCCUUUCAGACAUUGAAAGUGAAUUAAGUAAAAUGUAUGCUCUUUUUAAAUUUGAUAUUAGCAUCACAUUUCAAAAAGGUUUGGCUAUAAUGGUGACAAAGUUGUGUAAUAUGAAAAAAUACGAAAGAAACAUCUACCCAUUAAUUGUGUUGAGCUGCGACAGGAUGGUGAGGAAAUUAGGAUCAAAAAGGACAGUCCAGAGAGGGUGAGCCUUUCAGAGAAUAGUUAAGAAGAGGUUCCCCACUCUCCAAGAUCCUGUGUGAGUACAUUAUUCAAUUUUGUCAGAAUGUUACAUAUUGUAAAAUGGCAUCAUAAAAUAAAUUAUAUCAUUUGAAGAUCCUGAGAAACUAGAAAAAAUUCUGUACAAAAGGGACAGCACUGAAAACUAACACCGAAUGAAUGUGACCUUAGGACCCUGAGAUUGCAUUGUCUCAAAAACAGACAUGACAUGGGCUCAGAAUCACUUCGAAAAACCGUUGUGUGCAAACACAACUUGUCACUGCUUCCACAUAUGCAGGUUAAAACUGCCCCAUGCAAAGAGGACGCCAUAUUUAGACAUGAUCCCAAACUGCACGCAACCUUUCUGGGCCUUAACCCAUUCAGGAUGGCCUGAAUGGGGAGGGAGGAAAACUGUUGUCUAUUCUGACUAAUCAAAACUUAGCAACCUGUAUGGAAAUCCUGAACAUUGCAUCCUAAAGGUGUGAAGUUCAAAAGCCAGCAUCCCUGAUGGUAUGGGGAUCAUCAAAGUCCAUGUCAUGGGUGUCUCCCAUAUCUGUGAAGGCUCCGUUAAUGCUGAACAAUAUCUUCAGGUUUAGGAACAACACCUGCUGCCAUCCAGAUGAAGACUUUUUCAGGGAAGACCUUCGUAUUUCAGCAAAACAACAACAAACCACAUUCUACAGGGAUUACAACAGCACGGCUCUGUAGUAGAAGAGUCCUGCUGAUAAACUAACCUGCCUGCAGUCCUGUCUGUCACCCAUCAAAAACUUUAAGAGUAACAUUAUAUGAAAAAUAUGGCAAAAGAAAUGCCAAACUGUUGUGCAACUGAUAUCCUGCAUCAGGCAAGAAUAGGACACUCUCCAAACGCCAGUCCGUCUAGUUCACAAAGAAGAACGCUGAAAGAAGAUGUGAUUCAACCCAAUGGUGAACACGGUUGUCCAAACUUUUUUUGGG